AUUGUUUCUCAACAAAACCAGUCCCCUGUAAAACGUAGCAAGGCGAUUCAUUCAAUUCUUGAUCUUGUUUUUUGCGCUUUAUAUCCUCCAUGAUUUCUUUAAUACCAGAAACUGAAAGUACAAUUAACAUGGGGCCAAUCGUUGUAUAACGAUUAACUGGUGUGAUUCCAGGAAUUUGCUGCACAACAGCCGUGAAAAGGAAAAAUAGAUUUGCAUAUUUUGAGAAUUGUUCCUUUAGGAAUUUUGGUAAAAAUGUGAAAGCGCUGUAUUUACAAGUUGACACAGCGUUGUGUAAGAAAUGGUUUGCUGAAUAAUCAUUUAAAAUGAUCUGUCGAGGACCAAGAUCUUCUGGCUUAACCUGUUUCUUCUCUUUUUUAAAUAAGU